rnacentral:rRNA from 1 species
UGGGCGUAAAGCGCACGCAGGCGGUNGGAUAAGUUAGAUGUGAAAGCCCCGGGCUCAACCUGGGAAUUGCAUUUAAAACUGUCCAGCUAGAGUCUUGUAGAGGGGGGUAGAAUUCCAGGUGUAGCGGUGAAAUGCGUAGAGAUCUGGAGGAAUACCGGUGGCGAAGGCGGCCCCCUGGACAAAGACUGACGCUCAGGUGCGAAAGCGUGGGGAGCAAACAGGGUUAGAUACCCUGGUAGUCCACGCCGUAAACGAUGUCGAUUUGGAGGCUGUGUCCUUGAGACGUGGCUUCCGGAGCUAACGCGUUAAAUCGACCGCCUGGGGAGUACGGCCGCAAGGUUAAAACUCAAAUGAAUUGACGGGGGCCCGCACAAGCGGUGGAGCAUGUGGUUUAAUUCGAUGCAACGCGAAGAACCUUACCUGGCCUUGACAUGUCUGGAAUCCUGCAGAGAUGCGGGAGUGCCUUCGGGAAUCAGAACACAGGUGCUGCAUGGCUGUNGUCAGCUCGUGUCGUGAGAUGUUGGGUUAAGUCCCGCAACGAGCGCAACCCCUGUCCUUUGUUGCCAGCACGUAAUGGUGGGAACUCAAGGGAGACUGCCGGUGAUAAACCGGAGGAAGGUGGGGAUGACGUCAAGUCACCAUGGCCCUUACGGCCAGGGCUACACACGUGCUACAAUGGCGCGUACAGAGGGCUGCAAGCUAGCGAUAGUGAGCGAAUCCCAAAAAGCGCGUCGUAGUCCGGAUCGGAGUCUGCAACUCGACUCCGUGAAGUCGGAAUCGCUAGUAAUCGCGAAUCAGAAUGUCGCGGUGAAUACGUUCCCGGGCCUUGUACACACCGCCCGUG